GACGAACGCUGGCGGCGUGCUUAACACAUGCAAGUCGAACGGAAAGGCCCUGCUUUUGUGGGGUGCUCGAGUGGCGAACGGGUGAGUAACACGUGAGUAACCUGCCCUUGACUUUGGGAUAACUUCAGGAAACUGGGGCUAAUACCGGAUAGGAGCUCCUGCUGCAUGGUGGGGGUUGGAAAGUUUCGGCGGUUGGGGAUGGACUCGCGGCUUAUCAGCUUGUUGGUGGGGUAGUGGCUUACCAAGGCUUUGACGGGUAGCCGGCCUGAGAGGGUGACCGGCCACAAUGGGACUGAGAUACGGCCCAGACUCCAACGGGAGGCAGCAGUGGGGAAUAUUGCACAGUGGGCGGAAGCCUGAUGCAGCAACGCCGCGUGCGGGAUGACGGCCUUCGGGUUGUAAACCGCUUUCGCCUGUGACGAAGCGUGAGUGACGGUAAUGGGUAAAGAAGCACCGGCUAACUACGUG
rnacentral:rRNA from 1 species